GAUGAUAUCUGAGACACGAUAUCAGGCCCUACGGGGCGCAGCAGGCGCGAAACCUUCACACUGCGCGAAAGCGCGAUGAGGGAAUCCCAAGUGCUUGCACGUAAGUGUAAGCUGUUUUUAUGUCUAAAAAGCAUAGAGAGUAAGAGCUGGGUAAGACGGGUGCCAGCCGCCGCGGUAAUACCUGCAGCUCGAGUGGUGGUCGCUAUUAUUGGGCCUAAAACGUUCGUAGCCGGUUUGUUAAAUGCCUAGGUAAAUAGUAUAGCUUAACUAUACGAAUUCUGGGUAGACUGUCAAACUUGAGAUCGGGAGAGGCUAGAGGUACUCCUGGGGUAGAGGUGAAAUUCUGUAAUCCUAGGGGGACCACCAGUGGCGAAGGCGUCUAGCUAGAACGAGUCUGACGGUGAGGGACGAAGCCCUGGGGCGCAAACGGGAUUAGAUACCCCGGUAGUCCAGGGUGUAAACGCUGCUUGCUUGAUGUUAGUCGGGCUCUGAGCCCGAUUAGUGUCGGAGAGAAGUUUGUUUAGCAAGCUG
rnacentral:rRNA from 1 species